rnacentral:tRNA from 1 species
GGCCUUGUCGUCUAGCGGUUAGGACAUCAGGUUCUCAUCCUGAAGAUCGCGGGUUCGAUUCCCGCCAAGGUCA